GUGAUGGGGCUCAAGCGGUAGCACGCUCGCCUGGCAUGCGCGAGGCUCUGGGUUCGAUCCUCAGCACCACA
rnacentral:tRNA from 1 species